GAGAGAGGUCUGAAGAAUCCAACUUGACAUUGAUUAAUAUAGAAUGUUCAAGGGCCCAACCCAAAUAGGGCCCUCAACCUAUUUUAAAAAAUUAGGUAUAGAUUUGAGUGAUCUUUCAGCUUGCUUUUCAUCACAGGUUUGUGGUGUUAGGAAAUUUCUGUUGAAUUCUUUGGGGUUUGAUAGUAAUGCAAGGAAAAAUCAGCUCAAACUUAGCUCACGUGCCUUGGCAGGAAUUUCCAUCAUGACAGUUAAUAAGCUGGCUGUUAGUUAUUAUAGUUAGGAGAAGUUAACAGAUUGUAUUAAAUUAGCAAGUGAUUUUAAGGAGCUGUGCUGGUGUAAGCAAUAAUCAAUUGCAGCUCAAUAAUAGGGUCCAAUAAGUUGAGAAUAACAUCAUUUGCUUACUUCCUCUGUCUUCUUUUUUCUCUCUAUUCUCUGAA
rnacentral:misc_RNA from 1 species